rnacentral:rRNA from 1 species
CCUACGGGUGGCAGCAGUCGAGAAUCAUUCACAAUGGGGGAAACCCUGAUGGUGCGACGCCGCGUGGGGGAAUGAAGGUCUUCGGAUUGUAAACCCCUGUCAUGUGGGAGCAAAUUAAAAAGAUAGUACCACAAGAGGAAGAGACGGCUAACUCUGUGCCAGCAGCCGCGGUAAUACAGAGGUCUCAAGCGUUGUUCGGCAUCACUGGGCGUAAGGCGUGCGUAGGCUGUUUCGUAAGUCGUGUGUGAAAGGCGCGGGCUCAACCCGCGGACGGCACAUGAUACUGCGAGACUAGAGUAAUGGAGGGGGAACCGGAAUUCUCGGUGUAGCAGUGAAAUGCGUAGAUAUCGAGAGGAACACUCGUGGCGAAGGCGGGUUCCUGGACAUUAACUGACGCUGAGGCACGAAGGCCAGGGGAGCGAAAGGGAUUAGAUACCCCGGUAGUC